GAGUUAUCCUUCGUAGGUGUAGCCUGCGGAGGAUCAUUC
rnacentral:rRNA from 1 species